rnacentral:tRNA from 1 species
GAAGAGUGCAAGACACACAAAGAACUGCUAAUUCCUUGCCCUGGGGUUAAACUCCCCAGACCCUUCAC